rnacentral:rRNA from 1 species
AUACGGAGGGUGCAAGCGGUAAUCGGAAUUACUGGGCGUAAAGCGCACGCAGGCGGCUUGUUAAGUCAGAUGUGAAAUCCCCGGGCUCAACCUGGGAACUUCAUCUGCUACCGGCAAGCUUGAGUCUGGUAGAGGGGGUGAGAAUUCCAGGUGUAGCGGUGAAAUGCGUAGAGAUCUGGAGGAACACCGGUGGGGAAGGCGGCCCCCUGGACGAAGACUGACGCUCAGGUGCGAAAGCGUGGGGAGCAAACAGGAUUAGAUCCCCUGGUAGUCCACGCCGUAAACGAUGUCGACUUGGAGGUUGUGCCCUUGAGGCGUGGCUUCCGGAGCUAACGCGUUAAGUCGACCGCCUGGGGAGUACGGCCGCAAGGUUAAAACUCAAAUGAAUUGGCGGGG